GAUGAACGCUAGCGGCAGGCUUAACACAUGCAAGUCGAGGGGUAUAGUUCUUCGGAGCUAGAGACCGGCGCACGGGAGCGUAACGCGUAUGCAAUCUACCUUUUGCAGAGGGAUAGCCCAGAGAAAUUUGGAUUAAUACCUCAUGGUAUGUGAGAAUUGCAUCAUUUUCACAUUAAAGUCACAACGGCAAAAGAUGAGCAUGCGACCCAUGAGCUAGUUGGUAAGGUAACGGCUUACCAGGGAAACGAUGGGUAGGGGUCCUGAGAGGGAGAUCCCCCACACUGGUACGGAGACACGGACCAGACUCCUACGGGAGGCAGCAGGGAGGAAUAUUGGACAAGGGGCGCAAGCCUGAUGCAGCCAUGCCGCAUGCAGGAUGACGGUCCUAUGGAUUGUAAACCGCUUUUGUACAGGAAGAAACACUGGUUCGUGAACCAGCUUGACGGUACUGUAAGAAUAAGGAUCGGCUAACUCCGUGCCAGCCGCCGCCGUAACAC
rnacentral:rRNA from 1 species